rnacentral:tRNA from 1 species
GCCCCAGUAGCUCAGUGGAUAGAGCAGCGGUUUCCUAAACCGCGUGUCGUGAGUUCGACUCUCACCUGGGGUACCA